GGUCCAAGUUCGCACGAGGACGAAUAGUCUCAAGACAGACAUCGUCGUAAUAAUAGUAAUAGUAGUAAUAGUAGUAGUAGUAGUAGUAAUAGUAAUAGUAAUAGUAAUAGUAAUAUUAAUAGUAGUCUUCGUCGUAGUUGUCGUCAGCGACGUCGAAGAAAGACGAUGAACGUCGUCACGAAAACAUCGACGUCGAUGAGAAAGAGAACGCGUCCGGGAUAACCAGUGAAAGCCGGUAUAAACUGGACACGUUGAUUUGGACGUCGCGACGCCAACUACUAACUGCUUUUAUAACGGAUGACGAGUCUCAAAAAUUCCUGUUACUCUUCACGAUCGAUGUCGUCGUCGUCGUCGUCGUCGUCGUCGUCGUCGUCGUGCUUUAUCCUCUUCUUCUCUUCCUACACAAAAAAUCGUCCAUGUGUCGCAAGAAUCUGGUAAAUGCACGCCCGAGGAUUAAGAUUUUUUGACGCUUUUCAAGAUAUAAUUGUCAGUGAUGAUGAUGUGUAUAUACGUGUCAUUUUAUUUCAUUAAAAGUGUACGAGUGUGAGUGUACGUGCGCGUGCGCGCACACGUGUGCUUAAAUCUGCGUAUGCGUAUACGAAAAGGAAGAAAAUAUCGCGUAGGCCGGCUAUUAAUAAUUUUUCUAAGCAAACAUCGCGACUCUGGCAGCACGAAUUUAAAACUGAUAACCGUCUCGGUCCUCGAUUCGUAAAAUCCAAAGCGCAGGCUUGGCACGAGAUGAAUGUAGGUUGCUGGAACGCGAAAUGCAGAGAGAUGGACUACUUGCUUUCUAUCUCUCGUUCUCUCUCUCUCUCUCUCUCUCUCUCUCUCUCUCUCUCUUUCUCUCUCUCUCUUUCUCUCUCUUUCUCCGCGACCGAAUGAAUGGACUAUUCUACCGAUAGAUGGAUCGUGGUCGUCGAAAAUCAAUUGGACCAACUAGGCCUUUCAAACCAACUAUCGUCUUGCCAAAUGGUUUGGAAAAAUGAUGAAAAAAAAAGGGGGUCUACUUCUUCAAAAUUUUUAAUCGUCUUUGAGAUUUCAUUUUGUAAACGAAUAGAAAUAUUCGAGAUGAGUUUUAAGAAUUGACCUGGGAGAUAAUAUUUACGAGACUAAAAAUGAAGAGGCCCGAGGAAACAACAGUGAGAUCGAUUAUUCCCAACGCAUACAUACAUAUAUGCGUAUAUAUGUGUACGUACAUAUACACAAAGGAUAUACACAUACAAUAUAAAUUAUGUGCGAUCUUAGUUGCUGCAGUCUCUGCUGAUUGUCGUCGCGAGAGAACCCGUGCCGAAUAUAAGCGACGAUACAGAUCAUUCGACACAGUGACCCAAUUAUGUCGGAACGACAUAAACUAUAUAUAUACAUAUAUAUAGAUAAAUAGUGAAAGGAAGAAAGAACAAGUAUUUGACGAUUCUUCUAAAAAAAAAAUAAGGAAAAGAAAAAGAUUCAUUUAAAAAGAAGAAUCUAAAAAAGAGUCUAUACUUAUUUCGAUUCUUGAUUAAACAGAGAAUGAGAUCAUAAUUAAAACGAGUAUAAUUAUAUUAGAAUUCAAAUCGUCAAUAGAUCGAUGCCAAAUUUGGAGAAUGAGUAAGGACUUAAUUAAAAGUCCGUCCUAUCUUAUACGUGAUUGUGUCCUGUUUAAAAUCUAUCUCUAUGUAUACGUAGUACGUUGUAUAUACUGAAUGCAUAUAUACAGAUACACACCUAUUUUCUAUUGUUGCACGCGUUCUGUAUUUGGCUUCGAUCGUGAAACAAGCUUUCCAAGUACAGCGACCCUAAUAUAGAUUCGACCGUUAAAAAUAGACAGUCGAUCUUCUUCGCCAACGUAGAGAAGAGUUCGCUGGUGAAUUCAUUUCGAAACGAACUCUUUUUUUCCUCUCUUUUCACCUCCCUUUAAACCUCCCUCUCCCCACUUUCUCUCUCUCUCUCUCUCUCUCUCUCUCUCUCUCUCUCUUUCUCUCUCUUUCUCGUCCCCAUUCGCCGCGUCUCUUUCUUUGCUCUUACUCCUCUUUGACUGUACUCUCUUCUUCUCUCGAGAUAUCUCUCGUCUACGGUCUAGACGAUUAAUUAAUUGCGAUAACGCGAUUAAAGAAGUUGCCCAGCCUCUCCCUCCCUUCCUUGUGACUGGCUCUUAAGAUUUUCAACGUCGAUAUACAGUGCAGUAAUAUCUAUCUAUCUACCUACCAAUCUACCUAUCUACCAUCUACCUCUUCUUCCUUUUCCUCCAUAAUUGAACGAUCGAAAAGCGCUAGGAAUUUUUCUCUUACGAUGAAAAAAUGAAAACGGUCGAAGGAAGUAGCAACCACGAGCUCUCAUCUCGAAAUAUGUAAUCAGGGAUGAAAAGCGUUUCGAAAUUGUUUCCGCUUUUCUUGGUUGGAAGGAAAGAAAAAGAAUAAAAUGGAACGAGUCUCUUCUUGUACGUUUUUAAAAAGAAAAUUAAAAAAAAGAAAAAAAAGAAGAAGAAAAAAAAACAA